UUUUUUUUUUUUUUUUUGGUCUGUCUUUUUUUAGGGCUGCACUCAGGCCAUAUGGACCCAGGCUAGGGGUCCAAUAGGAACUGUAGCCGCUGGCCCAUGCCUGAGCCAUAGCAAUAUGGGAUCUGAGCCAUGUCUGUGACUUGCACCACAGCUCACAGCAAUGCCACCGGAUCCUUAUCCCAUGUCCUCAUGGAUGCUAGUCGGGUUUGCUAACUGCUGAGCCAGGACGGGAACUACCCUUUGUAUCUUUUUCUCCCCUAUUCUCUAAAUGACCUUAGACCAAUUCCUAUUGGUCUCAAAGAUAUAAUUUCUCCACCCCAGCUAGAUAGCUGGCUUCAUAUUUCAGUCCCCAAAAUGAUUAUCUCCAACACUCUGUAUUGGAUUUGCUAAAAUAACUAUGAAAGCUUCCCAAGGAAACAAUGUAGCUGUGGGAACUGGGCAGACGAGAGGAAGAAGUUCCCUUUCAAGAUAUUUAUAAUUCAAAGAAUGACCUCUGUUGACCUGCUACCCAGAAUUAACCUUCCCUUCUAAGUCAUGAGAGUUGACUUUCCUAUUGUUUUAAAUGCCACUCCUUUCUCCCUGAAGACAUCUCCGAAAGACUUGUCUUUCAAAGAGUCUAACAUACAAGGUUUUAUUUUUGCACUCCAGACCUCAGUGUCCAAGAACACUUUUCAUCACUCAAUUUAUUCUGGUUGAACAAGUUCACACACAUGCUAUUCUACAAGAUUACCAAGGCAAGUUAGUGACUUCAGACUGAGAAACAUGCUUUAAAGGUGCAAAUAUUAUAUAUUUUAGAUAUGCAUCAAUAGGCUGGAAUGGUAAGACUCCUGGAAGUCUAUAAAAUUCAGCACGGAGGAAAAACAAAAAAGGUAUGCACCGAGUUUUCAUUUGAAACAUACAACUCAUUCUUACAAUUCCAUAUUUCCAGAUUUCUUAGUCCUAGUUCCUUGGGCUUAUAUGAAAAUGCUCUCCUGCUACCUCAUGGGAAUAUGUGCAUUCUAACCAAAUAAUUUCAGGGCUUCUCAAAGGCUGAGGGAGAUCCACGCUGCCUCCAUUAUUUUUGAGGUUCCCAGUUAUAUUAACCUUUUUUUUAAAAUGCUAAAAUAAAGUUGGAAAAUUGGCAAAAAUAAAAAAGAUAGUUUACAAAUUGGUUAAACAUUUGCAUUUUAACAAUUGAUGCCUUUAACCCACAAAAAUUACAACACACGACAGUUAUGCUAGUCAAUAGAUAAUUACAAGAUUUAAUUUAGGAGUCCCCUUCCUGGCUCAGUGGAAACAAAUCUGACUAGUAUCCAUGAGGAUGCAAGUUCUAUCUCUGGCCUAGCUCAGUGGGUUAAGGAUCCGGUGUUGCUGUGAGCUGUGCUGAAGGUCGCAGACAUAGCUUGGAUCUGGUGUUGCUGUGGUAUAGGCCAGCAGCUACAGCUCCGAUUCCACCCUCAGUCUGGGAAGCUCCACAUGCCAUGGGUGUGGCCCUAAAAAAAGACAACCCCCCCCCAAAAAAAACAAAAAAAAAACCCGACUAAAUUAAAAAAAUCCAUGGUACACUAAAGAUGAUGUAGUUUAGUCAGGGAUCUCAAUUUUCAAUAUCUAAGGGGGUGUCUUCUUUCAAUCCCAUCAGAAUGUCUUUGUGUAACUUCCUUUGGAGGUAUGUCAAAAGCCUAAAUUUUAGGCCCUUUAUAAAUGUGGGGCCUGAGCUAGGGGGCCUUCCAGUUGUAUUCCCUCUCCUCCUCCUCCUCUCCCUCAAAUUAUUAUUUAGUAAUACAUCAUGAAAUAACGAUGGCCAUCAUCAAGUCUUAUCUGAAGCAGCGGUGUAAAGAAAAACUGAAUAAUCCUAGCUGGGGUAAAUGCAAUAAAGGGCAAAUUCUAAGGGCAGUUUCUACCCCACAUGCUGAAGCCUAGGUUUUUCUGAGCUAAUUUUUAUAGCUAUCAGUUUGAUAUGUCUUGUUUAGAUUUCAAGCUCCUUACAGAGAAACUCUAUCUUGAGCUCUUGCUAAAAAUGGUAAUUGAUUUGGUGAUUCCUAUUUAAACUGUUUAAGAUUUAAACCGAAAAACAAUUUCCAUUUAUGAUAGGGGCAACACGAACGUUUACAUAUGCACAUUUAUAGAUGUGAGACUAUCCUGAACUCCAUGCUUCUGAACACAGGCACCAUCGUUGUUAGCUAACAUAUAAUACACAUAUACCUACAGACAUAAGGAAAUAUCAUUCACUCAAGUCUUUGAUUUCAAAAAUCUUGCCUUUGAUUUCAAAAAUCUUGUCUCAGUUUUAGUAGCACAGAAAAGACAUUCGACCAUCUGCAUAUGAUUUGUAGCUGAAACCACUCUUUUGUGUAGACAAGUUGGCUGCUCCAUGGUGUCAACUGAAACCAGACAGAGCUGGACUUGGAGCAUCCAGCCGUCUUGCCCUGGGAACGACUGGGUCAGUGUGUCAUGGAAGAGAGAGUGUGGAUGGUGCCGCAAGACCCUCAAAGCGGCAACAGGAAGGUCUAUGGAUGGACUGUACUCUUUCUAAGAGGCUGGGGAAUCUCACCAUAACCUCAUCUGCUUCAGGUCAGCCCAGCUGGAAAGUGGAUUAGUGAAGCUUAGGCCCAGCUGGAAAGUGGAUUAGUGAAGGUUAAGCAGCCUGGGUCUGAAGGGGAGCUUCUCCUUUUUGUGAGCCAAGCGGAGAUGUCAUUUCAGCAGAGGUGGCAAAAGAGGGCAGGGAACGGAGUGUUCAGAGAAUAAAGGGAAUUGACAAAUACAAUCUCCUAUUAAACACAGAGAAAAACCAUUCUGAAUGUCAGCUUUUCCCUUGAUAUAUUUAACAGUUUAUUAAAGUAAUGGCUAUUCAUUAAUGUUCCUUUUAAAAGUUACACAUUUUUAAAACUUUUUUUGCUCAGAGUUCCUGUCGUGGCACAGUGGGAACGAAUCUGAUUAGGAACCAUGAGGUUGAAGGUUCGAUCCCUGGCCUUGCUCAGUGGGUUAAGGAUCCUGCAUUGCUGUGGCUGUGGUGUAGGUCGGCAGCUGUAGCUCUGAUUCGACCCC
rnacentral:lncRNA from 1 species